rnacentral:rRNA from 1 species
AUGGAACGCAAAGCUUAUACCGCACGAAGUGAGCUAGAGCAGAUGUUAGUUGAUGAAACAGCGGAGCCCAUGGCCCUGCCAUUAUCACUCUUGGAGGACAUCACAAAUGAUUUCUCCGAUGACCAGGAGAUUGGAAGUGGGGCAUUUGCUGUAGUUUAUAAGGGAAUACUUGGCGACAAGUCGGUUGCUGUGAAGAAGUUGACCAACACUUAUAUGCAUCAAGUGGAGAUUCACCGAGGGCUUCAAUGCCUGAUGCGGGUAAAGCACAAGAAUGUAGUAAGAUUUCUCGGAUAUUGUGUUGAUAGACAAGGAACUAUGGCAAGUUACGAUGGAAAGUAUGUCAUGAUAGAUGUCCAUCAAAGUUUGCUUUGCUUCGAGUAUAUACCUAAUGGGAGUCUUGAUAAAUAUAUCACCGAUGCAUAUCGUGAGUGGCAAACGUGCUACAAAAUAAUUAAAGGGAUUUCUGAGGGCCUGCAGUUCCUUCAUGAGAAUCAUAUCAUUCACUUGGAUCUGAAACCUUCCAAUAUACUGCUCGAUGAUAGCAUGGUACCGAAAAUUACUGAUUUUGCACUGUCCAGAUGCUUUAAUGAAAAUCAAAGACGGUAUAUUACCAAAACUAUAUUAGGAUCAAUGGGAUAUUUGGCACCAGAACUUUUGGAAGGGGAUGCAAUCACAUGUAGCGCUGACUUGUAUAGUCUUGGUGUUAUUAUCACAGAAAUACUGACCGGGCAGAAGGGGUAUCAAGCUACUGAGGAAGUACUUGAAAGUUGGAGUGAUAGGAUGGAGAGAUCACAACGAGACACACUAUUGGAACAAAUACGAGUAUGCUAUGAGAUAGCUUUAGAGUGCAGAGACUUUAGUCCAAAGAAGAGACCAGCUAGUGCACGUGAUAUAGUUGACAGGCUUCGUGAAAUGGAGGGUAUCCAGGUAGAGAUGGGUUCUUCGCUGGCCGUCAUGGGCACCAUGGAUGCUCCGGUGAGUUGUUCGCUGGCCGACAUGAGCGCCAUGAAUGCUCCAAUGAGUUAUUCCCUUGGUGUCAUGGGCCCCCUUCUCAGGAAGCUAGAUUCGCUGCUGCCUCUCGAUUACCGGCUGCGAGGGCCACUCAAGGACAGAGUUGCGCUCCUCAAGGCAGAUCUGGAAGAAAUCAGCGUCGCCCUUGUGGAGCAGUCAAUGGUAGAUUCCCCCAAUGAAAUGGCAAAAUACUGGAUGAAUGAGGUGCGUGAACUUUGUUACGACAUCGAGGAUUUCAUCGACGACAUGAUGUUGACGCACGCCGAUGCCAAGAUGAGAUCGGUGCAGAGCUUCAAGGUUGGCCGUGUCAAGAUCCCUUGGCUUCCCAAGACGGUGAGGCCGUGCACAAGGGCGGCCAAGAUCGCAGAACUCAGGGCCCUGGUGCGGGAGGCGAUUGAACGACAUGGAAGGUAUCUUGAUGGUUGCACCUCAAGUUCUAGAUCUCUGUUCACUGUGUACGGCCAUAUUCCAUUGAUGUAUGCAGAGGCUGCAAACUACCUUGUUGGUGUCGACGACGCCAAGACAAAGCUUAUCAAGUGGCUCACCGAUGAGAAGGAACAACAGCUGAAAAUGGUGGCCAUAACUGGACAUGCAGGGGUUGGCAAGACCACGCUUGCAAAACAGCUGUACCGUGAAGUUGGGCACCAAUUUGAGUGCCGUGCUUUCGUGCGGGCAUCUCGGAAACCUGACAUGAGACGACUGCUUGAGGGCAUCCUCUCUCAAGUUCAGCAGCAUCGAUGCCCUUCUAAUUCCUACACAGUGCAAAACCUCGUUGACAAUCUCACCAAACAUCUCCAGAAUAAGAGAUAUGUUAUUGUAAUUGAUGAUUUGUGGGAAACAAUAUCAUGGGAUAUUGUUGCCAGUGCUUUUCCGGAAGGUAAUAACUGCAGUAGAAUAAUAACCACCACAGAAAUUGAGGGAGUAGCUCUGGAAUGCUGUGAUUAUCAAUCUGAUAAUAUUCUGAAGAUGAAACCUCUUGGUGGGGAGGACUCUGGGAAACUGUUACUCAACCUGGUUUUCGGUCCUGAAUGUCUGUGCCCUGAACAAUUAAAGGGGGCUUCAGACAUAAUUAUAACAAAAUGUGCUGGUUUGCCACUAGCAACCAUUUGUGUAUCUGGUCUUUUAACAACCCAACCGGACAACCCUAAGCUAUGGCAGCAUGUGCAGGAAUUUUUAUGUUCCACUUUGAGUACAGAUUCUACUUUGAACGAGACACUGCAGGAAAUACUAAAGCUUAGUUACAAUAGUCUUCCUCACUAUUUGAAGACAUGCUUGAUGUACCUGAGUGUGUAUCCGGAGGGCUGCACAAUGUGGAAGUUUGAUUUGGUUAAGCAGUGGAUAGCAGAAGAUUUCAUCUGUGCGAUAGAAGGAACAGACACAGCGGAAGUUGCAGAUAGCUAUUUUGAAGAGCUUGUCAACAGGGGAAUGAUCCAACCUGUAGAUAUCAACUACAGUGGUGAGGUAUUGUCCUGCACACUGCACCACGUUGUGCUUGAUCUUGUUACACUUGAGUCCACCGAAGAGAGAUUUAUCACUGCAUUAGAUUACUCACAGACCAUCAGAGGACAUUAUAGCAAGGCUCGUCGGCUAUCGCUCCACUUCAGCAAUCCCAGAUAUGCAAAGAAACCAACUGGUCUAACACUGUCAAAAGUUCGAUCAAUUGGCUUUUUUGGAAUCCUCAAGUGUGUGCCUACAAUUGUGGGAUUUAAGCAUCUCCGAGUUCUAAUCCUGGAGUUUUGGGGUGAUCAAUGGGGGAUCACGAGUUUUGACCUCACAAGAAUUUGUAGAUUUUUUCAGCUGAGAUAUUUGAAGAUUUCAUGUGAUGCCAGUGUAGAGGUAGAACUACCAACCCAGAUGCGAAUGCUGCGGUACUUGGAAACACUAAUAAUUGAUGCAGCAGUGUCUGCAGUUCCAUCAGAUAUUAUUCAUCUCCCAGGCUUGUUGCAUCUCUCUCUUGGAGAUAAGACAGAUAUACCUGAUGAGGUUGGUCGCAUCAGAUCUUUGCGUGUGCUACAUUGUUUUAACCUUAGCAGUAACUCUGAAGACAAUGUACUGAGCCUUGGUGAUCUGUUGAACCUGCAAGAUCUUAACCUCACUUACUGUACAGAAGAGUCAGAUGACCAUCUGAAGAGAAACCUGGCAGCUCUAGCCUCUUCUCUUGGGAAACUUGUGAAUCUCAAAUCUGUCACUCUGGCUCCUGGUGCUUCAGGAACAGCAAUCUACCAUGAUGUGUGGAGCAGCGUGUCCUCUCUUCCUUUCUUUCUUCAGAGACUUGAGUUGUUGCCCCCCAUUUGCAUCUUCUCCAGGCUUCCGCAGUGCCUUGGGCAACUCCGCAAACUCUGUAUUCUGACAGUUGUUGUUAGCGAGCUGCUGAUGGAAGAUAUGGAUAUAGUGACAGGAUUGCCCGCCCUCACUGUUUUCUCACUCUAUGUCCGGCAACCCACGUUAGAAAGUAUUAUUUUCAAAAAAAGGGCAUUCCUAGGGCUCAAGUGUUUCAAAUACACAUGUGGUGUACUGUCCCUCACCUUUCAGGAAGAAGCAUUUCCCAAUCUUCAGAGGCUCGAGCUAAGUUUCAAUGCUCACAGAGGAGAACAGUAUUAUGAUUUUCUUUCGGGCAUUGGUUACCUGUUAAAUCUCAAGGAAAUUGCUGGAACGAUUGGGGCAGCCACAGGUGCUGAGGAAUCUGAGAGGAGGGUUGCAGAGUCUGCUUUCACAGACGCCAUUCGCAAACAUCCAAGGUUUCCUAGUUAUGACCACGUAAAAAGAGUAGACUGGGUUCAUGAAGAAUCCCAGCUUAGAACCCAAGCGAAAGACUCAUCAAGGGGAAAAUAUGAAACACUGGAAAAGCAGCAUGGAAGAAAAGAGGGAGACUCGUUACAUGAACAGACUAGAAUUUUACUGAAAGAAACCGGGGAAGAAACAAAGCAAUGCACCAAUAGCUGGAGUUUUUACUUUCCCGCCACAGAAUCAAUUAUCUUCGAUCAAAUGAAGUCAGACAUGGAGCAGAUACUGAAGGAGGCUCAAAUCCGAUGGUUACGCCCUACUGAGAUUUGCGAAAUACUUAAGAAUUACAGGAAUUUCCGUAUAGCUCCAGAGCCACCAAUUAUGCCUGCAAGUGGUUCACUUUUCUUGUUUGAUCGGAAGGUAUUGAGAUUGUUUAGGAAGGAUGGCCAUAAUUGGAGGAAGAAAAAGGAUGGAAAGACUGUCAUAGAAGCCCAUGAAAGAUUAAAAUCUGGAAGCAUCGAUGUGCUUCAUUGCUACUAUGCUCAUGGGGAAGACAAUAUAAACUUCCAGAGGAGGACCUAUUGGAUGCUGGAGGAGGACUAUAUGCACAUUGCCCUUGUACAUUAUCUCGAAGUCAAGUUUCCAAGUGCUAAUGAUGGUGCGACUACUGAAUUUCUUCAGCUUCCAAGUGCUAUUGAUGGCACAACUACUGAAUUUCAGCUUCCAAGUGCUACUGAUAGUACAUUUGCUACAAUGGACAGUUUUGAACAAAACAAUAAACGUUUGGAGGAAGCCAUUAAUUUCCCCGUCCUGAAAACUCAGUCAUCUAAUCUUUCUGUUAUCCUGAAGGACAGCUGUAAGAAAAGUGAUAGUUUUACUAGAUGGAUGAGCAAAGAAUUUGCUGAAGUAGAUGAUUCCCAAGUUAAGUCCAGUUCUGGAUUGUACUGGAACAGUGAAGAUGCUGACAAUAUCAUUGGAGCAUCGAGGCGUGAUCAGUUGGAUUGGUUUACUCUGGACCCAAGGGUGGCACAAGAUCAGCUGUUUAGUAUAACUCAAUUUUUUCCAAGCUGGACAUAUGCAGGUUCAAAGACUAGGGUUCUUGUUACUGGUAGAUUCCUAACUUCUGACAAAGAUAUAAAGCUCAAGUGGUCGUGUAUGUUUGGAGAAGUCGAAGUUCCAGCAGAUAUUUUAGCAGACGGGACUCUCAGGUGUUAUUCUCCCCCGCACAAACCUGGCAGGGUCCCUUUUUAUGUGACUUGCUCCAACAGGUUAGCCUGCAGUGAAGUACGAGAGUUUGAAUAUCGACCAAGUGAUUCUCAAUACAUGGAUGCUCCAAGUCCACAUGGUGGUACAAACAAAAUAUAUCUCCAGGCGUGUCUUGAUGAAUUAUUGUCUUUGGGACAAGAUGAGCAAGACGAGCUCCAGGCAGCUCUAUCUAACCCCACAAAGGAGUUGAUUGAUUUGAACAAGAAGAUAACCUCAUUGAUGACAAACAAUGAUCUGUGGUCUGAAUUGCUAAAGUUGGUUGAUGAUAAUCAGCUAGCCCCUGAUGAUAGGCAGGAUCAGUUUGUUGAAAGCGGUAUCAAAGAAAAGCUGCAUAUCUGGCUUCUCCAUAAAGCAGGAGGUGGUGGCAAAGUUCCCAGUGUGUUAGAUGAGGAAGGGCAGGGCGUUCUUCAUCUGGCAGCUGCUCUAGGAUAUGAUUGGGUGAUAAGGCCAACAAUAACUGCUGGUGUAAGCAUAAAUUCCAGAGAUGUUCAUGGAUGGACUGCACUGCACUGGGCAGCAUUUUGUGGCAGAGAGCGGACAGUUGUUGCUCUUAUAGCAUUAGGUGCGGCUCCUAGAGCUUUGACAGAUCCAAGGCCUGAUUUCCCUUCAGGACGCACACCAGCUGAUCUUGCGUCGUUCAAUGGGCACAAGGGAAUUUCUGGUUUCCUGGCAGAGUUUUCUUUAACAAGCUAUCUUCAAACCCUCAACCUGGAGGAAGUCAUGGGGAGCAAUGCAUCAGAGAUAUCUGGUCUACCUGGUCUUGGAGAUGUUACCGGAAGAAUUGCCUCACCGUCGGCAGGUCAAGGUCUUCAGGCUGGAUCGAUUGGAGAUUCACUAGGUGCUGUGCGGAAUGCUGUCCAUGCUGCUGCUCGGAUAUAUAAAGUUUUCAGGGUGCAGUCCUUCCAGAGAAAGCAAGCAGUUCAGUAUGAGGAUGACAAUGUUGUGAUAUCAGAUGAACGUGCCAUGUCACUCUUGUCUUAUAAACCAUCUAAACCAGGACAAUUCGAUCCCAUGCAUGCUGCUGCAACUCGAAUACAAAAUAAAUUCCGUGGAUGGAAGGGAAGAAAAGAAUUUCUGAUUAUUAGAUAG